rnacentral:lncRNA from 1 species
GCAGGAGGUACAUAGGUUAUGGGGAGAGAUAUGGCAAGCAGAAAACUAUGCUUGGACCUCAAUUAGAGGCCCAAGGUAGAAACACCAAACAAAUGGUCCUCACCUCUUACAUCUUCACUCUGCAUUUCAGCAAAAUGGAAGAAAAAACUAGGAUGCGAUGGUCGUGCCAAAUUUUGACACCGGCAGCGGCAAGUCCCUCCGAGGACACACUUCAUCCUAACCUCCGCGUCCAACUCUCCCAAUCGCAACGGAACGCGACUCUCACCAACUAUAAACGGUGCCACCACGUGGCGAUCUCGACUGGCUCGACAAACAGAGAAGCUCCGUAAUAGAUUGAUAACACGAAAGAUAGGAAGAGUUUACUGGCCAUGCUGGAAUCGGAUCUGUCGGCAGCUCUAAGAAGGCGUUCAGAAGCACGGUUCAUUAUCACACUCUUCUUCGCUUCCUCUGCUGCUGCGAGUUGCUCUUGUUUGCAGGAUUGAUGGAAGCAUUAUGCUCCGAUACGGAUUCCGGCGAGAGGUCUCAUUAUGCAGUGGUUAUUGCGGAACGAAUGUGGCGGAGUAGAGAUUCGUUAGCGGAUUGAAUCAUGGUGGAAACGGCGACCAUGGUUUUCUGUUAUGCAAGUGAAGAUCGGUCACAACGUACGGGUACGGAGAGGAAGGAGGAAGAAGCGUGAUUUUUCUGUAGAAAUAAUUCUGUUUCGUUUCAAAGAAAUAAAAAGAAAAAUCCCUCUAGCUUCACUGUAUGGUCAUGUUCUUAUAAAAAAUUUUCUGCGUUUUCAUUUGUUCGCUUUUGUUUUCACGUUAGCUGCGCGUUUAGCUAUUUUUGGAUAGCAACUCGUUUUAGAAGCCGUUUUGCGUUGCCGCUUAUGCACUUUCAUGCGUGUUGUAGCAGCUGGUAUUGGCUUGGGUGUGUUAGCCUGUUGCAGUUGUUGGAAGUGUCUUGGCUUUGAGCUGAGUUUUUGCAGCUUGUCGUUGCUGCGUUCUGCUGUUGGCGUUUGUUUGCUCAGUAGUUGGUACGGCAAACUUGGUGGCUUAUGCAGGUUGUGGAAGUAGCCUAUUUUUGCGUGGUAGCUGGUGCGUUUUGGAUUGUGGUUUGGUGCAGUUCACGUACUGCAUUUUGG